CAGGUGGUGCAUGGUUGUCGUCAGCUCGUGUCGUGAGAUGUUGGGUUAAGUCCCGCAACGAGCGCAACCCUCGUUCUAUGUUGCCAGCACGUAAUGGUGGGAACUCAUGGGAUACUGCCGGGGUCAACUCGGAGGAAGGUGGGGAUGACGUCAAAUCAUCAUGCCCCUUAUGUGAUGGGCUUCACGCAUGCUACAAUGGCCGGUACAAAGGGCUGCAAUACCGUAAGGUGGAGCGAAUCCCAAAAAGCCGGUCCCAGUUCGGAUUGAGGUCUGCAACUCGACCUCAUGAAGUCGGAGUCGCUAGUAAUCGCAGAUCAGCAACGCUGCGGUGAAUACGUUCCCGGGUCUUGUACACACCGCCCGUCAAGUCAUGAAAGUCGGUAACACCUGAAGCCGGUGGCCCAACCCUUGUGGAGGGAGCCGUCGAAGGUGGGAUUGGUAAUUAGGACU
rnacentral:rRNA from 1 species